rnacentral:lncRNA from 1 species
CCUGAAUCAGAUAUGGCAGCUUCCUAUAUUCCUGUUGGGACUUGCUCUGUAGAAGCAUUUGCAGCACGAGGCAGAUUUGAGGACUGGAACAAGGAUUUCCUUGUUUAUUUUUUUCCCACUGGAGCAUUUAGAUCCUGCCAUUCGAGUGUAAAUAGUGCACCUAUUGUUCUCUGACUCUGGCGAGAAACAGCAAGGCACUGUGCUAGGCCGGGGGGCAAACCAGUGGUGGUGGCUGCCCUGGCUUUCUCCUUGCCCAAAGCAGAGAGUGAGGAACGUCAGGAAGAUGUCAGGCUUUGCCUCUAGAUGGAUUUUAGAUGACAUUUCCCCCUCCUCUCCUCAUUUUUUCUCCUAACCACUCCCCUGAGCUACUAUUACCUAACUUUUACACAAACAAGCAGAGCUCAGAAGCAGUAACUGAACAGCUGCCUGGCUUGCUUGUCACCCUUUGCACAAAGAGACUUCACCCAACUGGAAAGUGUUUCGGGAAAACAAAUCUUUGCAGAAGGAAUCCUGCGCUGAAGCCCUUUGC